rnacentral:lncRNA from 1 species
UGCUAUAACAUAAAGGAUCUAUCUUUAAUUCUAAAAUGCUUUGCAAUUCUAUUCUCAACAUUUAAAGAAGCAUAAAAAUUAUCACAAGCUAAACAUAAUUUACAUAAUCCAUCAUUCAAAAUACUAUAACGAACAAUCUGAGGGUUAAAUAUUAAAUUAACUUUUUUAUCACAAAAAAUCAAAAUCAGAUUCAAGCCUAGCUAAAGAGGAAACAGAAAUCAAAUCCCUUUUAAAAGAAGGUACA